rnacentral:misc_RNA from 1 species
AAAAAAAAAAAAAAAAGUAAAAAUGGGUGGGGAUUUGCAUGUAAAAAGGACCUUUGACGGUCGCUUUGCUUGGGUGGUGGCGAAGCAGAUGCUGCUACAACUUCUCGAUUCCCACAGCGACCCUCAAGAAUGCAAGGAUCUAUUCACCAUCAUACUGUACUAGAUCUUAUAUAUUUCAUAUCUGUAUCUAAUAGACAGCGAAAUUUUGAUUUUUGUUAGCGUCUAGAAGAACCAAACAUUUGAUCAAGGAGGACGACGAUAGCCAUGGCCACCGACGUCUCCAUUUUUGGCACUACAACGAGCCGGAACACGUCGACUCCAAAAGCCACACCACCCACUGCCUCCUUCUGUUUGAUCUCCGCCAUCCUCCUCCUGUUCUCGUCGUACACCGCGCAGCUCCUUUGGGAGUACGAUCCCUCUAUUUCGUACACGACGUUCUUUCCAUUACUACUAGUUCUGCGACUGCCUGAGCUCACGUGAGCCAAACACUUUUUAUUAAGGAUGUUCACGUGCUUCUUCACCGAGAACAGUGGAUUCACCACCGUUUCUCCGUCGUAUACCAGCCAGUUAUCCGCCAGGCUCAGCCUCUAAUACAUCCAGCAAACAAAUAAAAUAAGAACAAAUCAGACAUGGAAAUAAAAUUCAAAUUGAAGGUGGAUUCAUUGAAUCCUAUAUAACUACCUUGCGGCGGAUGGUGAAGAGAGGCUUGCCGCCAGCGUCCAUGAGAACGAUCUCGCCAUUACUACCGGAGCCUGCCAUGUAAUUAUCAACUCUAAAAACGAGGUUCCCUUUGGCAUCGAACACAGUAAAGCCGUUGCAGUUGAAAAGCAAAGACUUCUUCCACACAGUUAACACAACAGCAUCAGCUGCCUCUAAUUUAGCAUAUGACUUGAGCGUCGUCUGCUCAGCAGCGACGACUGUGGCGCCGAUGUUAGGGUAUACCUUGGUCAUUUUGGGAGUUCGACGCGGUACAGUUACCAGGCUCGCAACCUGAGAGGGAGGAGGAGAGGGAGUAAUCUCUCUAGUUUUUUAUUGAAUAGUUUUGGUGAU